rnacentral:rRNA from 1 species
AACUAACAAGGAUUCCCCUAGUAACUGCGAGUGAAGCGGGAAAAGCUCAAAUUUAAAAUCUGGCGGUCUUUGGCCGUCCGAGUUGUAGUCUGGAGAAGUGCUUUCCGCGCUGGACCGUGUAUAAGUCUCUUGGAACAGAGCGUCAUAGAGGGUGAGAAUCCCGUCUUUGACACGGACUACCAGUGCUUUGUGAUGCGCUCUCAAAGAGUCGAGUUGUUUGGGAAUGCAGCUCAAAAUGGGUGGUGAAUUCCAUCUAAAGCUAAAUAUUGGCGAGAGACCGAUAGCGAACAAGUACCGUGAGGGAAAGAUGAAAAGCACUUUGGAAAGAGAGUUAAACAGUACGUGAAAUUGCUGAAAGGGAAACGCUUGAAGUCAGUCGCGUUGUCCGGAACUCAGCCUUGCUUUCGCUUGGUGCACUUUCCGGAUGACGGGUCAGCAUCGAUUUUGACCGUCGGAAAAGGGCUGGAGUAAUGUGGCACCUCCGGGUGUGUUAUAGACUCUGGUCGCAUACGACGGUUGGGAUCGAGGAACGCAGCGCGCCGCAAGGCAGGGGUUCGCCCACUUUCGCGCUUAGGAUGCUGGCAUAAUGGCUUUAAACGACCCGUCUUGAAACACGGACCAAGGAGUCUAACAUACCUGCGAGUGUUUGGGUGGAAAACCCGAGCGCGUAAUGAAAGUGAAAGUUGANAUCCCUGUCGUGGGGAGCAUNGNNGCCCGGNCCUGACGUUCUCUGACGGAUCCGCGGUAGAGCAUGUAUGUUGGGACCCGAAAGAUGGUGAACUAUGCCUGAAUAGGGUGAAGCCAGAGGAAACUCUGGUGGAGGCUCGUAGCGAUUCUGACGUGCAAAUCGAUCGUCAAAUUUGGGUAUAGGGGCGAAAGACUAAUCGAACC